UGUUACCUGAAAAGGAUUCACAUUUGAAGAGAAGAGUUGUUAAUUUUCUUUCAAAAAAGUGAUGACAGCUACUGAGGGAAAAAGAUAAUGCAUUUGCGCAAAUAAUAGUGAAAGAUGUCGAUUUGUUGCAGUAGACGAGAGAUCUGGUUUAGCUGCUCUCACUCACAAAAUCAAUGGCCAAGAAAAAGUUGGUGUCAUGCAAAUUGACGCCCAUCACAAUGAUUUUACACACGAGCACAUGACCCUACUCUUCUAUCAGGAAAAUAAGCAUUUAGAGAAGUACGGUUAAAUUACCAGUUGUAGCAUCUUUCAAUAGCUCUUUGCUGUUCUCCCGUGACUUAUGAUGUAUCCAGCCCCAAAACUGUUAGAAAAAGUAAGCAUGGGUAAGUGUUGGCCACAAGUUAGUUGAUAUUUUUUGUAGAUAUGGAACGUACCUUCAUUUUCGUUCUGACACACGAUACUAGAGGAGAAAGUGACUUUUAUAGAGAACCAUGAUUGCUUGAAAGCCCAUGAUAAAGCAGUGAGUUAGUUGCUAUUGCUAACAGUACCUCAAGACUUUUAGGUUGAUGACAGUGGAGACCAACACCAAGAAAGCUACAAAAUUUUGGUUGGCCGUUCUCUUUCAAGAUCACAUCAAGAACAAGUUGGAGGCCCCUUACAGACAUGAGGCUACUGUUGUGGUUACAUGACACGGAAUUGGAGUAGCUAUCCGUAAUUACAAUCAUCUAUCAUCUCAGAUUUGGCCGUCUCUGACAAGAAGAAAAGGCAUAUAUAUAUGACUACUGUUGUGCAGAAAAGUAAAGAAAGAGUGCUUUUUCCAGGAAGCCUAUGGAAGCUCUGUGACAGAACAACAACGACUGCUUUUCGUACUAGUUGAUUUAGACAAGUGAAGCCGUCCACGACAUCAGGUACUGUAUUUCUGCAGCAAUGUUUAGUUUGCGUUGUAAUAUUACUAUUGGUAAUGUAAUGGGAUUUGUCGCCUUUAUUAAAUAUAUCCUAUACCUGGUUCCUUAGCCGUAGAAGCACAUUGUUUUGGUAGAUGCAAGUAGGAACUUGGUAGAAACUGAACCGUAAACACUUAGGCGUCUGUGUGAAACACCAUAGACAGUCAAUGCAGAUUAGAUUAGAAUUGAUUUGAUUAGAUUAGCGGGAACAAAGACAAGGAUGAGGGAACAAAAUAAAAA